GUUCCUUCUCAUAAAAACGAUGAUGGUUUCCUCCUCAUAAAAACGGCAAAGAAAGUGGAAUUUCAAACACUAGAAGCCGAGAGAAGGUGGAAGACGGAGAUGGUCUUGACUUAAUUUCUUUUCUUUACUACUCAAAUUUCAAUCUUCGGAAUCUGGUGAUGGAGAUGGUCUUGAUUUUGUUUGGAUUCAAUUAGCUCGUCAAGUGCCUGACUCUUAUCUUAUUCAGUCAUUCAAACUCUUAUCUUUUGUUUCUGGGCAAUGAAACUGGGUUUGAAGCUUCUCCAAGAAAUAGCUAUGGUUGGUUCAUUCAGGUGACCAUACAUCACUACUCUGCCUCAAAUGUUCCUUGUGCCUGUUUUCUUGAAUGAACAUACCCGUCAAAAAAUGCGUUCAUACUCUCAGAUCGUUGUGUAGUAGACAUCCCAGCCCAAAAUGUGGUCUUCACAAAACAAGCCAUGUUGAUUCUUUUAUGGCUUCUCAAAUAUCGAGCUUUCGAUGGACUGUUCAAAUGGUUAUGUUGAAGGGAAACAACACUAAUCAUCCAUUUAUCAUCUGCAUACAGUCUCGCUGAAAUUUUGGCUUUGCAACCAGUUCUUUGUGUUGGAGGGAGAUUUAACGGAGUGUCUGAAGCUGUAACGUUGUUCCCCUCUUUGAAACAUGUAUAACUUACAUGUACUUGUACACCGUUUUCCUUUUUGCAUGUUUUUUUCUUAACAGAAAAUCCUGUCUUGUAUGCAUAAUUAUUAUAAAAUUCAAAUAAUUCAUUAGCGCUAUGAAACCUCAUACCAAGCUGUAACGUUC